rnacentral:tRNA from 1 species
AUGUGGUUCAGUGGUAGAGUGCAUGCCUAGAACGCAUGAGGCACUGGGUUCGAUCCUCAGCACCACAUA